CAUCUUUCACAUGGGAGUUUUUAUCUCUUGAUUCCAGGAAGAAAAAAGGAUAUGAGAAUGUGCAUUUUUCAUCUGCUAUUUUUCAAGUGCCUUUAGCUUAAAAAUAAUCCUUAGGCCAAAGUGGCAUUUUUUGGAUGGCGUAUUCUGCCACCCUUAAAUAGUUUCCUAUUAAACAAGAAAUUUACACUCUCCAACUUCCUCCUUUCUCCACUGCUAUCUCGACAGGGGCAACCUCUGCUUCAAUACUGGCAGGACAGAAAAAUCCUGUAACUGCUCUGCUUCAACAAGGGAGAAACUAAAGAGGGAACCGAAGAGAUGGAGAAUUUCAAACCACCAUCCCAGAAUCUCUUGGAACUCAAGGCAUUUCUCCUGGAAAGUUCCCAGAAGCACUUCUAAUCUUCUACUUUGCUAAGAUUCCGCCUCAUUAUUCACUUGUUGACAAAGCUCCAUCUGGUGAUUUUGGAAGUUGGGUUUCUGAGUGGACGUCCAGUUUAUUGAUUCCCAGCGCUGGAAUCUGAGCAACCCACUGCGCCGGCCAAAACAGCGGCGUUAAGACUGAUGGUGCUGUUCUGCCCGGGAAUCUCCUCCCGUUUACUCUGCACGAAGAGCUGCCACGCCAAGGCGCCGACAAAACUGCUGUGCCGGCCACAAGAGUUGUACUGGCGACCUGUGGGGUUCCUCCACUGGGAAUCUUCUGCUGAACAGCUGCUGGGCAUGGUCUGCACUUCUCCAGCCUGGGGCCUCAAGGGAAGUAUGUGAGAAACCCCAGACUCCAGUCUUGCCACCUCACUCAGCCCCUGGAUCAAAGAAGACCAAGCUCGUGUGCCCCCACAGUGGGUCCACCAGCCAUGCCUGGCCCGAUUCUUAGCUGUCUUUCUACUAGCCUAUGGACUCCACCGGGUCUUGCCAACACCUGGCACGAAGUCGGGUUCUUACUAAAUAUGUGUGCAGUGAGAACUAUGUAUCGCACAAACAAGCCGAGUGCUUGCCACUGGAAGGGCUCCCGGCAUCACCCCAGUGCACCAUGAGACCUGGGCAAAAGAUCAGCCCUACUUCAGAGGGGCUUGCUGGUGUUACAUACUGAGACUUACUUUCCUGGCAGCCCCCAACUUCCCCAGAGAAGUAGAGCUCCCAGGCCAUGGGAGAGAAGGGCUUCCCUCCUCCCAUGGACGUAGCAGCCCGCAUCAGAGCCAGAACCAAAUCUUACUGAAGGCCAAAGCACGGACCCUAACAGACCAGGCAUCCCUGCUGCUUCCUCACACCCAGAGUCUGUGGACAGAAUUCAAGGAUUCAUGAAUGUGGAUAAAAAAAAAUACAUAUUAUUUCUACUAAGCACUAACUGAAAUGUAGCAUUUCCUUUUUUUAUGAAUGUAGGCCACAAACUACAAUAUCUGAUAUUCUUUCACCAAGUUUUCACAUGACAUUUUCACAUUAUAUUACAACUACACAUCAACAAUUUUGAACAUUCUGGCAACAUUUAGAUCUGUUGCUAGAUCUUGUUGUUUAAGCCAUUAAUAAAGAAGUACAUAUUUUAAUAGUUUCCUUUGUAAUUCAAUUUUAUU